GCCCAGUUGGUGAAAUUGGUAGACACGCCAUCUUGAGGGGGUGGUGUCGCAAGACGUGCUGGUUCGAAUCCAGUACUGGGCA
rnacentral:tRNA from 1 species